rnacentral:rRNA from 1 species
GUAGGUGGCAAGCGUUGUCCGGAAUUAUUGGGCGUAAAGCGCGCGCAGGCGGUCCUUUAAGUCUGAUGUGAAAGCCCACGGCUCAACCGUGGAGGGUCAUUGGAAACUGGGGGACUUGAGUACAGAAGAGGAAAGCGGAAUUCCAAGUGUGGCGGUGAAAUGCGUAGAGAUUUGGAGGAACACCAGUGGCGAAGGCGGCUUUCUGGUCUGUAACUGACGCUGAGGCGCGAAAGCGUGGGGAGCAAACAGGGAUUAGAUACCCUGGUAGUCCACGCCGUAAACGAUGAGUGCUAAGUGUUAGGGGGUUUCCCGCCCCUUAGUGCUGCAGCUAACGCAUUAAGCACUCCGCCUGGGGAUACGGCCGCAAGGCUG